UGGUAUAAUGUGGGUUGCAGUGACUUUGUAAUAACUAUAAUGGUAUAACUGCAUCCAUAGAGUAUCAGAGUGAAUGGUAUUAUUUUGCUUUAAAUUAAUUUUUAAUAAUAUAUUACUAUACAAACCUAUUUCAAGCACAAAUCAAAAAAUGUUUCGGAGUGGGUAAUACUGAUAUUCUUUUGAAUAAUUUCUUCCUUCUGGAUCAAGAAAAAUAUUUAGUGCAUCCAAAAAGAUUGGGAGUUGGAACAGGAAUAAAUAUGGGGAAGGCAAGCAUGGCAGCAUGGUGGCGGACUGGUAAAGUUUCUGCCUUACAGUGCCAGAGACCCGGGCUCGAUCCUGACAAUGCAUGCUCUAUAUAUGGAGUUUGUACAUUCUCCCUGUGACGGUUUUUCUCCGGGUGCUCCGGUUUCCUCCAACACUCCAAAGACGCAGAGAAUAUCCCAGAUGGGUGACGUUUUGGGUUGAGACCCUUCAUCGGACCCUCCAUAGAUCCAGCCUGACCUGCUGAGUUCUCCAGCACUUUGUUUUGCUCUUAAAUUAAAUCCGUGGUCCGCUGAAGAAACAACUCGAUAGACCACUCUGGAAGUGCAAAUGUUCCUGUAUACUUCAUAUUGUAGAACACAUCCUAAUAAACCU